rnacentral:rRNA from 1 species
UACGUAGGGGGCAAGCGUUGUCCGGAUUUAUUGGGCGUAAAGCGCUCGCAGGUGGUCCGAUACGUCGUGCGUGAAAGCCCCCGGCUCAACUGGGGAGCGUCGUGCGAUACGGUCGGACUGGAGGCCAGUAGGGGGAUGCGGAAUUCCGGGUGUAGUGGUGGAAUGCGUAGAGAUCCGGAGGAACACCAGCGGCGAAGGCGGCAUCCUGGACUGGUCCUGACACUCAUGAGCGAAAGCGUGGGGAGCGAGCCGG